rnacentral:rRNA from 1 species
GACGAACGCUGGCGGCGUGCUUAACACAUGCAAGUCGAACGAAAAAUCAUUGAAAGCUUGCUGAUAUGAUUUUUAGUGGCGGACGGGUGAGUAACGCGUGAGGACUUGUCUUAUACAGGGGGACAACAGUUGGAAACGGCUGCUAAUACCCCAUAAGCCUUCGGGUAAAAGGAGUAAUCCGGUAUUAGAGAGACUCGCGUCCUAUCAGCUAGUAGGUGAGGUAACGGCUCACCUAGGCGAAGACGGGUAGCCGGCCUGAGAGGGCGAACGGCCACACUGGAACUGAGACACGGUCCAGACUCCUACGGGAGGCAGCAGUGGGGAAUAUUGGGCAAUGGGGGCAACCCUGACCCAGCGACGCCGCGUGAGUGAAGAAAUCCCUCGGGAUGUAAAGCUCUGUUGUGUGGGAAGAUAAUGACGGUACCACACGAGGAAGCCCCGGCAAACUACGUGCCAGCCGCCGCCGUAA